CCCCCCCUCACACCAUCUCAGCCCCAAAAAUUAAAAAUUAAGAAGGGGGAGUGGGGGGGGAAGUCCCAUGCAAUUGCCAGGACUCUCCUCCACUACAACUUUGUUCCUCUUUGCGAGGUUUCCUCAGCCCCCUUCUGAAAAGGGGGGAAAAAAUUCAAGGUGGGGGAGAGGAAAGAAGAAAGAUGGGUUUCAGUUCUGAGGUGGGGAGUUCAGGAUAAUAUUUGCCACCAGAGCAAGAAACAAAAAUGGCCGCCUUUAAAUUAUUUUUAAAACAGACCCCCCCACGAGGUAAAAGAUAAAUGUGCCCCCCAUGGAAAAGAAAGAAAGAAAAAAAAAACCAAAAUGGCUGGCUUAAUUUUAACCCCCUCUUCCUUAGGGUUCAAAAAGAUAUGCCCCCUUUCAAAAAGCAAUCAGCUCCAAAUUUAAAAAAACAAAACAAAAACCUUAUGCAAGAAAAAAGGAUAAUCAAGAUAAAGGCUUUUCUCUUCUUGCUGUUGUGAUAUUUUCUUUUCAAUCUCCCAAGAUCUGUGGUCAUGAACAAUAUUUAGACAUUCCUGGCACUGGGGGGAACCUGACAAGAUUUCUGCAUAAAACAAAGAUGGCUGCUCUAAAUUAUUUCUUUUUUUUCUUAUGCUCUCCCCCCACCUCCCUCAAUAAAAAUAUUUUUUACUGGGAGGGGGGAAGAGAGAGAGAAAAGGUUGGAUUAAUCAGUACUCAUGCUCAGUUAUGACAUCAGCAUAAAAUUGUUAAAGGUUAACUAGUUCCAUACUAGUAAGACCACGACUUUUGUGUGUGCCUAUGUUUGCUUUACUAGCACAAGCGAAAAAAAGAAUAGGGGUGUUUUAUUUCCUCCCCCCCCCUUUUUUUUUCUCUCUAACUUUAAAUACUUCAGAAGGGAGUGGCUUAUUUCUCUCCUUUUCCUCUAGGGCAAGAAAGGAAGAAGAGAAGAAAAAACCCUCCCUGAUUACUGCAAUUCAUUAAAAGAUUUUGUCCACAUUCACAAAGGGGAUUUUACUGUUUUCCCAGAUGAGAGUUCUUUUCAUACAUACAUACAUACAUAAUAUGUAUAUGAUUUUUUGCCAAGUUUUGUAUUAAAAAAAGUCUGUAUAUAUUAAAUUUAAAAAAUUGAAAGCUAGGUUCUAGCUACCCUAGUGUGUUACAUUUGCCCCACAGGACAAAUUAAUGGAUAAUUAAAUUAGUGUGAUAAAAUACCUAUUACAAAAUGUUUUUUUCCCUCACCAAACUGAUGGGAACAAUUUUCAAGCAGAUUUGGGGGGUGAUUAUGACAUAAUCCAGCAGUGAAACUGAUGCACUUAAAUUACUGCAUGUGACCUCAGAGUGUCUAAAGCUGAACUCACAUAUUUGCCUGAGUUAAGGUCCCCAGAAUGCAAAAAAGCUUAUUACUUAUGUAUUCCUUAUUAGGACUGUUCUGUAAUUCUGUUCCAUUAUAGCUUAAAACCGUUUACCCUAUUUUUACAGAGGGGGAAUCUACUAAAAGCCAUAUAAUUAAGAUAGAGAAAAAAUUGGUUAACAAUAGGAAUCCAGCAUUAUUAUUUCUGCCAAACCUAAUAGACAUUUGUUUGAGUUUAAAAUGCAUUUUAUAAAACUUUCUCUUUACUUGUUACAGAGACAUCUGUGAUAGGAAUGUUCCCAACAACCUAAAAAGAAGCUGUAAAGGGCCUGGAUCUCUUCAUGUCUAUCUCUUAGGUUGCAGCAAAUGGACAGUCUCCUUCUACUUGCAUAUCUGAGAAUUACGGAACCAGCUUUGCCCUAGGCCACAGUAUAUAAUUAAGACAGUUACUUUAUGCAUCCACGCUCAGAGAAGGCUGACGAGUCAGCAAAGCCCCCCUCUCUACUGGGAUAGGCUUGCAAGGCAGCAUCUCGCCCAAGAUCAUCCAGCCAGACUUCCUGGCUCAACCAUUCUAAGGCCGGCUCAUUUUCCACUGAGGCCACACAAUCUUGAGUGGCAGAAGGGAGCCCCAAUCAUCCAUCUGGGGGUUCCCUUUGCAUCAGGCUCUUACCAAAGCAAAGUGGGCUAGUGCAAAGAAGGGGUGGCUCAUUUGGGGAAUGAUCCCCAGAGAUGAGAGAAGCGAGUCACCAACUGCCUCGGCUCCUUGAGAAUGAACUUUGGAAGAAGCUGUCACAGACAGGAACAAACCCAAGAGGGAGAAAGAAGAGGACCACUGGCCUGAUGUGGCGAGAGCCUUGCUGGCAUUAUGAGGAAACAGACCGAUGCCCAUUAUUCUCUCUGCCAUAAUGGAAAGAUCUGAUGCCCUGACGGGGCGGGCGGGAGACACGGAGGGCAGAGGGGGAGGUUAUGUCCCCAGGGGGACUGCCGAGGCUAGCCUGAGAACAGGCGCGGAAGCUCCCACCGCCUCCCUCCAAGUCAGAUCAAGACUAGACCAUCUAGGGCAGGGCUUCUCAACCUUGGCGACCUUCAGAAGGGUGGACUUCAACGCCCGGAAUUCCCCAGCCAGCAGUGUAAAGCAUCUCUUGUCUAUGACUUUGUGCCGUCUAAGUCUCAGAAUCCUCUGUGAUCCUUCAGCGCGUCUCCAGCACAGCCUGCAGUGCCGCGACAGGACGGCUCAGAUGCUGCUUCGGAAGCCGAGAGUCCAUAUCCUCCCCGGAGACGCGGGGUGUCCUUUCCUUCCCACAUCCAGCAAAGCUUCCCCUGCCUGCCCACUGCCUCCAGGUAUGCGGCAUCGUCUAAGUGACUUUGGCUGAUCUCCAAAAACUAAACAAACUUGGAUCUGGUUAAUAUUUGAUAGGAGACCACCAGGACAUGCCCAGACAUUCCAGAAGAAAACAGUGACGAGCCACUUGGGUACCACUGCCAAAAAACCCUAGAUGUCUUGUGAUCACGAAAUCACCAAGAAUCAAGUUUGACUCAGAUACAACUUUGCUUUUGUUUCUUUGAAAACACUGGUUUGUGAAAACAGUUUGGCUGCAAUCCUGGAUAGAGUUCCUACAAAAUCACUCUUGCUAAAUAGAUCAAAACAGGCUUACUUCUGAGAAAGUAAGCAUGAGGUUAGGUGUCUGCGUAUUAAUUUAUAACCCAGAGAACAUGUGAUACUGAUAGUCACAUAUUUUUUCCUUAGCAUCUGAAGU